rnacentral:rRNA from 1 species
GAUGAACGCUAGCUACAGGCUUAACACAUGCAAGUCGCGGGACCGGCGCACGGGUGCGUAACGCGUAUCCAACCUGCCCUUCACCCCGGGAUAACCCGGCGACAGUCGGACUGAUACCGUAUGGUGGCGUGUGGGGAUGCGUCCGAUUAGCUUGACGGCGGGGUAACGGCCCACCGUGGCUACGAUCGGUAGGGGUUGUGAGAGGGAGGUCCCCCAGACUGGAACUGAGACACGGUCCAGACUCCUACGGGAGGCAGCAGUGAGGAAUAUUGGUCAAUGGGCGUAAGCCUGAACCAGCCAAGUAGCGUGCAGGACGACGGCCUAUGGGUUGUAAACUGCUUUUAUGCGGGGAUAGGUACCGCAUGAAUAAGGACCGGCUAAUUCCGUGCCAGCAGCCGCGGUAAUUC